CUUGACCUCAGAUCAGGU
rnacentral:rRNA from 1 species